ACAAGGGUUCAAAUUCCUUUUCACUGCGAAUUACUGAUCUCAGAGUUGAAGACAGUGGCACUUAUCAGUGUGGAGCAUGUGAGCGGCUAUGUAACAUGCAAUACAUGGAGUGAAGGAAGCGGCACCAUUCUGACUGUGAAACCUGAUGGCGCGCAGCCUUCUCCACCAGUCAUCAGUCUACUCUACUCUGCAACUGAAGAACAGAGAGUAAACGGAUUUCUGCAGCUGGUUUGUGUAAUCAGCGGAUAUUAUCCCGAAACAAUUGCAGUGACCUGGCAGAAGAAUGGAAAUGCUAUAAAUUCUGGCUUCACAACCACGCCUCCAAUGACAACAACGACCGCUGAUUUUAGCUCUACAAGUUGGCUUAAAGUGCCCAUGCAGGAAUGGAGCAGUGGUUCUAUAUACAGUUGUCACGUUUCCCAUUCUGAAACCAACAGUAACCUCAGAAAAGAAAUUAGUUCAGCAUCGGAUGAUUGCCAUCAGACAGACAUUUCUGUUAAUCUACUGAAACCUUCGUUUGAAGAGAUUUGGACACAGAAAACAGCGACCAUUGUUUGUGAAAUCGUUUACAACAACUUUGGAAGCAUCAACGUUUUCUGGCAAGUGAACGGGGCUGAGAUAACUAAAGGAGUCGAAACAGAAAAUCCUAAUUGGAACGGAAGUAAAUUCACAAUUGUAAGCAAACUAAAAAUCAUGGCAUCAGAGUGGGACAGCGGUGCCAAGUAUGUUUGUCUGGUAGAAAACAGUGAAUUAUCAACUCCAGUGGAAGCCUCCAUCAAGAAGACAAUUGACAGCGAAAUGCAUCCACCUCAGGUUUAUCUCCUGCAUCCAUCGACGGACGAGAUUGACACUGAGGAUUCAGCGACCCUGAUGUGUGUAGCCACCAGCUUUUACCCAGCUGAGAUCUACAUUGGCUGGAUGGCCAAUGACACCCUUUUGGAUACCGGGUACCGGACGCAUGUAGAUAGUGAGAAGGGGAAUGGUUCCAACUUCAUGACCAGCAGGUUGACAGUCACGGCGGCGGAAUGGAACAGUGACACCACUUACACCUGCUUAGUGGGACACCCAUCCCUCAGCCGGGAGUUAAUCAGGAGUACAAAUAAAUCUCACGGUAAACCGACAUCAGUUAAUGUAUCAGUCGUACUGAGUGACAUUGUUAAAUCCUGCACAUAAUUGCAGUGAUUGAUUAUUUAUUUUUCUGUAGGUAUGUUCAUGUUGUUAUGGCGAUAACUGUUUAAGCAAACAAAUCUAUCAUUUUCAAUUCAUUGCACGCAACAAUCACAUUUCUGAUCAGUGAACACUUUUGUAAAACAGUAAAUGUCUACUAUUACAAAUUGUAUCUCUAAGUAAAGUAAACUUUAGCUUAGAAGCUGAAAUGCAAUGAAAACUUUGUCUUGUGAGUGUAAUCGUUCCGAAGAUCGCUUGAAACGUUCCACCCCGCUUCUAAAGGAACGGGAAACCGUGUUAAAGUCUGUAUGUGGCUCCUAAAAUUGAAAUAAAUGCAGAA